rnacentral:rRNA from 1 species
CAGUCGCCGCGGGAAUACAGAGGGUGCGAGCGUUAAUCGGAUUUACUGGGCGUAAAGCGUGCGUAGGCGGCUUCUUAAGUCGGAUGUGAAAUCCCUGAGCUUAACUUAGGAAUUGCAUUCGAUACUGGGAAGCUAGAGUAUGGGAGAGGAUGGUAGAAUUCCAGGUGUAGCGGUGAAAUGCGUAGAGAUCUGGAGGAAUACCGAUGGCGAAGGCAGCCAUCUGGCCUAAUACUGACGCUGAGGUAUGAAAGCAUGGGGAGCAAACAGGAUUAGAUACCCCAGUAGUCCCUGUCUCUUAUAA